UCCUGUGCCUGGGUUAAGAUGGGCCUAAUAAUCUAUGUGAGCCUACUUAUGCUAACUCCAAAAAUCCCGAGUCUGCUGUUUUAUCCUCAAGACAAUGCCUUCCUAUCCUGGGCUCACUCCUACACAGCAUUUCAC